AUAACAUUGUCCAAGGCCUAUAAAGAAAUUAGGGGAAAUUUCAGCAACAUAAGCAGAAUGUUGGCUGGUCUGCCCUUUGUAACAAUUGAUGAGAAAUGGGAACAACAAGAAAACUAAUUUGUUCUUCUAGUAUAUACUAAAAAAACCCCCACCAACACCUCACAAUUUGUCCUGCCCGAAGAAGCAUUUUCGGUUUUGCAAAGCUUGUAGAUACAAUGACAUUGAGGUGACUUGCAGAAUAAGAGGGUGGAGAAUAAACUUUUUGUAUUGUUUCCAAUAGCGUAUAAAUGUUUUGCCACAAAGAAGCAAAAUACCACUUUGCAUACACCUCCCCCUCGAUAUGAAUACUUCCUUCCCUCUUGCAUAAAAAAGGUUUGCAAACUCAAAAGAAUAAAUUCCAGUUUGUCUGUCUCAGGUGUGCUGAUGAUGUAGCUGACUCAUCACCAAUUAAACAGUGUUCUGCUGCGUAUAAACGUUUGUUUGCAGAAGGUGAUUUAAAAGGAAAAAUGCUUGGUACAGGGAGGAAACAUUGAGGCCCAUGUACCAAACAGGUUAAUCAUUGGCAAAACCAGCAGCCUAGCAAUCCCACAAGCCUUUGCAAGUGCAAUCCCGAGAACCCUUGCACUGACUGUUGAGGCCAGUGGAGAGUUGAAGUUUGAGCAAGGAGGAGUGACUGCAGUGGAAUUUGACAAGGUUUGGCAUCUGGUAAGAAAUUGCAUUCCACUGAGCCAAGCUGCCUUUGGGACUUGACAGAUGCUUCUUCUUUACUCUCAUUUGUAAGCUGCCAAAUCAUGCAAAAAUGUUCUAGCUCGCAAAAUUAGGGACCCCACUUGUAAGUAUUUCUUAAAAAGAAAAAUCCUCCUCGACAUGGCAAACACUUGUACUGGUGUGGAUGUGAUUAUUGGGUGACAUGGUCUGAAGUAAAUGUUGAGUACCCAUUGCCUCAGUGGGCAUCUCUUGAUAACACAUGAAAUUAUAGCUAUGGAGAUGUCGAUUUUUGACCUUUUGGCCCAGUAUAAAUCACGACAGUAGUGUAAUUUUGUUUGUCCCUUUGCAGUGCCUUCUGUGCUCUGACUUUGGUGUAUCUUCUUGGUGCAACGUAGGCCGAGGUGCAAAGCAAGCAUCGGGAAUAAUUUCGUAUCUUGGAGGUUAUUAAAAGUUAGGCAUUGCUGUCCAUUAAUUAUGAGAUAGUUGAGCUUGUCUUCAAGGUGGUAAAUGAAAAUCUGUCUUGCUCAGAGACUUAAUUAAAAUCAGGAGGUCAGGCAGAAUGCACUGCAAUUAUUAUCUGCAACCUAACGCAGUAAACCACAUUCAGUGAGUGGGGCGGAAAUAUUGGCAGAAUUGUGAGGGAGCCAGCAGAUCCACACCUACCCACCAAUGCAACUUUUGGGAAGGACUGUUUCAUACAAGCAGAACUUUCAAUUUCAGAAUCAGUAUUUGUAAAGUCCCACAACCAUUCUUGACUUGUCCCAUUGAUAGAUUGUUGGUAUAGAAUCAUGAGCCUGGCCCCAACUGAGAAAAUGACUGACUAACAGCAUCCCAGAAUUACUUGGUGUACACACACACACACACACACACACACACACACACACACAGACAAAACUCCUUGGCUGGAUCUGCCUCCUUGAUUAGUAGUAGGCAGGCAGAGCUGUGCAUUAAAUAAGGGCAAUGGCAAAAGUGUCACCUAUUUCUGGUAAUAUUGUGUAGGUUUCCCUGUACAGUGGACGCUCGGGUUGCGA
rnacentral:lncRNA from 1 species